rnacentral:rRNA from 1 species
UGCGUAGGUGGCGCUGUAAGUGGGGUGUGAAAUCCCGGGGCUUAACCCCGGGACUGCAUUCCAUACUGCGGUGCUUGAGGACUGGAGAGGAGACUGGAAUUUACGGUGUAGCAGUGAAAUGCGUAGAGAUCGUAAGGAAGACCAGUGGCGAAGGCGGGUCUCUGGACAGUUCCUGACACUGAGGCACGGAGGCCAGGGGAGCAAACGG